CUCUCUCUCUCUCCUUAAACCCUCCAAAUACUUCACCGAGGCAGGCUAAGAUUUCGGGUAUUUGACUUGGAUGCGAGCUCCACAUCGGGUUUAUCUCCUUUGUUCCCAGGUUUUGAUUUCCCCCCUCAAGUUCGAACACUUCUUUUGCGAUUCGAGUCUAUCCCUUUAAUCUCAGAUCUCUGGUUCGAGUACCCUCUUGCGAUUCUUCUUCAUCAAGUUCUCAUUCACCUUUGAUUCCAGCUAUGUCGCUGAAGAAGUCGUGUAUUUCGAGGGGUCGAUCGGCUACUCAGCCACCUGAGAGGGAGG